rnacentral:tRNA from 1 species
GGGCUCAUAGCUCAGCAGGUUUAGAGCACGCGCCUGAUAAGCGCGAGGUCGGUGGUUCGAGCCCACUUGAGCCCACCA